rnacentral:tRNA from 1 species
GGGAAUAUAGCUCAGUGGUAGAGUAUCUGUAUGGUAAACAUAUGGCCCUGGGUUUGAUCCCCAGUGUAUUAA